GACGAACGCUGGCGGCGUGCUUAACACAUGCAAGUCGAACGGAAAGGCCCUGCUUUUGUGGGGUGCUCGAGUGGCGAACGGGUGAGUAACACGUGAGUAACCUGCCCUUGACUUUGGGAUAACUUCAGGAAACUGGGGCUAAUACCGGAUAGGAGCUCCUGCUGCAUGGUGGGGGUUGGAAAGUUUCGGCGGUUGGGGAUGGACUCGCGGCUUGUCAGCUUGUUGGUGGGGUAGUGGCUUACCAAGGCUUUGACGGGUAGCCGGCCUGAGAGGGUGACCGGCCACAUUGGGACUGAGAUACGGCCCAGACUCCUACGGGAGGCAGCAGUGGGGAAUAUUGCACAAUGGGCGGAAGCCUGAUGCAGCAACGCCGCGUGCGGGAUGACGGCCUUCGGGUUGUAAACCGCUUUCGCCUGUGACGAAGCGUGAGUGACGGUAAGGGGUAAAGAAGCACCGGCUAACU
rnacentral:rRNA from 1 species